rnacentral:rRNA from 1 species
UACGAAGGGGGCUAGCGUUGCUCGGAAUCACUGGGCGUAAAGCGCACGUAGGCGGCUUUCUAAGUCAGGGGUGAAAUCCUGGAGCUCAACUCCAGAACUGCCUUUGAUACUGGGAGCUCGAGUCCGGAAGAGGUGAGUGGAACUCCGAGUGUAGAGGUGAAAUUCGUAGAUAUUCGGAAGAACACCAGUGGCGAAGGCGGCUCACUGGUCCGGUACUGACGCUGAGGUGCGAAAGCGUGGGGAGCAAACAGGG